GAUGAACGCUGGCGGCGUGCCUAAUACAUGCAAGUCGAGCGAACAGACGAGGAGCUUGCUCCUCUGACGUUAGCGGCGGACGGGUGAGUAACACGUGGAUACCCUACCUAUAAGACUGGGAUAACUUCGGGAAACCGGAGCUAAUACCGGAUAAUAUCUUGAACCGCAUGGUUCAAUAGUGAAAGACGGUUUUGCUGUCACUUAUAGAUGGAUCCGCGCCGCAUUAGCUAGUUGGUAAGGUAACGGCUUACCAAGGCAACGAUGCGUAGCCGACCUGAGAGGGUGAUAGGCCACACUGGAAGUGAGACACGGUCAAGACUCCUGCGGGAGGCAGCAGUAGGGAAUCUUCCGCAAUGGGCGGAAGCUUGGCGGAGCAACGCCGCGUGAGUGAUGAAGGUCUUCGGAUCGGAAAACUCUGUUAUUAGGGAAGAACAAAUGUGUAAGGAACUAUGCACGUCUUGACGGUACCUAAUCAGAAAGCCACGGCUAACUACGUG
rnacentral:rRNA from 1 species